AUGCCAGUGCUGUCCAUGCUGGAAUACAUUUUUUACAAGAUCAUGCAAAGGCUAGUGAGUAAACAGAGAGAGGCCAUAGAUAAGUGGGCAGGGCAGAGAAUAUGCCCAAAGAUCAAGAAGAAACUAGACAAGAACACUGAGUUUGCUGCUAAUUGCCAUGUCUCUGAAGCUGGCCAACAAUUGUUCAGAGUUCAGUCUGGUAACUCUAGUUAUACAGUUGACUUGUGCUUGCACACUUGUGACUGCAAGAGAUGGCAGCUCUCUGGAGUACCAUGUGGCCAUAGCAUGCUGCAGGGAGGAGAGAAUUGA
rnacentral:rRNA from 1 species